GGAGUAACUGACUAUGCUGAUCCAUGAUUGCGACAGGACGUUUUUCCUUCUUCUUCCCUCUCCCAGGCCUGAUCUUUGGACCAGAAGGAGAUUAAAAGAUGCCCCCGAAGAUGGCUGUGCCUGUCACUUCCAUGGAGCUGCGGUCAAGGAUUUUCUGAGCCUGAUGGAUUUACAGUGAUACUCGGCUGCCUGGGGAAUAACGCUGUUGAGGCUUGCACUGGAAUUAACUCACACCCGGCGCACUUCAGGAUGCUGAAAGUGGUUCUAAGGAAGGCCCUGGCUGGAUGCCUCAUGGGUUCUCACGGCCCGGGUGCCCAGCAGAACAGAGGACCGCGGCAGCCUGCGUGGGCUGAGAACUCCAUCCUUGUCACGGACGGGAGUGUCUCUGCCAGCUCCCUGGGGGACUCCCUGUGAAAUAAUUCGGUUAUAUCUGGGAUUUAGGCACUUUUCAUCUGAAAAAAUACAUUCAGCAUUCUACAUGGAUUUGAGAACUGUUCUUCUCUGAACUAAAGCUGGAAUAUUUGGGGAUUUGGAGAAUUAAGUACUGUCCCUGGCUUCAGUCCUCAAGCAACAUGCCCAGUAUGUGUUGGAAACGUUAACAUUUCUUGCACAUCACCCUGGUGAGUGCAGGCACAGAUGGAGUAUGAGUGUUUCCCGGAGCUGGAGGAGGACCCAGCGGUGGAUGAGAAAACUGCUACUCAGAGAUGUGAAGUAACGUGGCAGAAUCACACAGCUGAUAAGUAGCAGAGAUGAAAGUCCAGGUGCUGAAGGCAGUCGCAGGUCACUGUCGCCCUCUCCUCGAGCUGAUGGAUAGACGUGGUCUUCCUACAACGGGACGUGUCCUUGUGUGGGUAAUGAGCAGGUUAGAUGGCCAGUGUCACCUUCUCUUCUCUUUCCCUUUCUCUGAGAUUUUAAUUCUGGCUUCUUCUUUUCAGAAGACUGUGAUGCACUUGGCUCAGGAGACAACCCCAGCAGUAACCUUCACCCGAAGAGAACUGAAUACUUUUUCCCAGAGACAAGAGGGACACAUCAAGCAGGAAAAAGGAGCCUAGAAAAUCGCCACCAUUUCCCCCAUCUCUCAUUACACAAAAUACAUUUUACCAGUGAUUUGGUCACUGCUGAGCCAUCUACUUUUAAUGUGGUUUUGACAGAAUAGUUGGUCUGGAAAUUUUAUUUUCAAUUAAACUUCCUUGCUGAACUGUC